UACGAAGGGUGCAAGCGUUACUCGGAAUUAUUGGGCGUAAAGGGCGUGUAGGCGGUUGUUCAAGUCCGUUGUGAAAUCCCUGGGCUCAACCUGGGAAUGGCAGUGGAUACUGGACGGCUAGAAUGCGGUAGAGGGUAGUGGAAUUCCCGGUGUAGCGGUGAAAUGCGUAGAGAUCGGGAGGAACACCAGUGGCGAAGGCGGCUACCUGGACCGGCAUUGACACUCAAGCACGAAAGCGUGGGGAGCAAACAGG
rnacentral:rRNA from 1 species